AUCGCUUCUCGGCCUUUUGGCUAAGAUCAAGUGUAGUAUCUGUUCUUAUCAGUUUAAUAUCUGAUACGUUCUCUACCCGAGAACAUCAUAUUAAACGGAUUUUUGGAUUCCGGAGUCGGGGUGGGAGCUUGCUCCGCCCGCUCCGCCCGCUCCACGCAUCGACCUGGUAUUGCAGUAUUUCCAGGACUGGUGCACCCCUC